CGCUGGCGGCGUGCUUAACACAUGCAAGUCGAACGGGAUCCAUCGGGCUUGCUUGGUGGUGAGAGUGGCGAACGGGUGAGUAAUGCGUGACCGACCUGCCCCAUACACCGGAAUAGCUCCUGGAAACGGGUGGUAAUGCCGGAUGUUCCAGUUGAUCGCAUGGUCUUCUGGGAAAGCUUUCGCGGUAUGGGAUGGGGUCGCGUCCUAUCAGCUUGACGGCGGGGUAACGGCCCACCGUGGCUUCGACGGGUAGCCGGCCUGAGAGGGCGACCGGCCACAUUGGGACUGAGAUACGGCCCAGACUCCUACGGGAGGCAGCAGUGGGGAAUAUUGCACAAUGGGCGCAAGCCUGAUGCAGCGACGCCGCGUGAGGGAUGGAGGCCUUCGGGUUGUAAACCUCUUUAUCGGGGAGCCAAGCGUGAGUGAGUUUACCCUUUGAAUAAGCACCGGCUAACUAACGUGCCAGCAGCCGCGG
rnacentral:rRNA from 1 species